UACGUAGGGUGCGAGCGUUAAUCGGAAUUACUGGGCGUAAAGCGUGCGCAGGCGGUUCGGUGUGUCCGAUGGGAAAGCCCCGGGCUUAACCUGGGAAUGGCAUUGGAAACUGGCGGGCUUGAGUGCGGCAGAGGGGGGUGGAAUUCCGCGUGUAGCAGUGAAAUGCGUAGAGAUGCGGAGGAACACCGAUGGCGAAGGCAGCCCCCUGGGUCGACACUGACGCUCAGGCACGAAAGCGUGGGGAGCAAACAGG
rnacentral:rRNA from 1 species